UACGGAGGGUGCGAGCGUUGUCCGGAAUCACUGGGCGUAAAGGGCUCGUAGGCGGCCAACUAAGUCCGACGUGAAAUCCCCAGGCUUAACCUGGGAACUGCGUCCGAUACUGGCGGGCUUGAAUCCGGGAGAGGGAUGCGGAAUUCCAGGUGUAGCGGUGAAAUGCGGUAGAUAAUCUGGAGGAACACCGGUGGCGAAGGCGGCAUCCUGGACCGG
rnacentral:rRNA from 1 species